CGGGGUGUAGCGCAGUUGGUAGCGCGCUUGGUUCGGGACCAAGAGGUCGGGUGUUCAAGUCACCUCACUCCGACCA
rnacentral:tRNA from 1 species